rnacentral:lncRNA from 1 species
AAGAAUCGGUGCGCACAAAAUAGUUGGGCAAUGAUGAGAAAUGUAAGCAUCUCUAUCACCCAUGAACACUCACAGCCGGUACACUCAGCGGAUGACCUCGAGAAACGCAUUUACCCAGGUGUUGCCUAUUGUGACCACCCCACUCUCAUGUUCCGGUAAGUUAGUAUAGAACUUCGUAACCAUCUGGACAUUUUCCUCCUCCAGUUCAUCAAAGAAGAUGUUCAGAUGACAUCUCCUUAACUCAUUGAAGAUAUUUGGGCAUUUCGCUUGCAAGGCUUGUCUGUCAC